GCCGGCUUAGCUCGCUGGUAGAGCACCUGAUUUGUAAUCAGGGGUCGGGAGUUCGAGUCCCUCAGCCGGCACCA
rnacentral:tRNA from 1 species